UGUGGACUUGAAAUUGAGCCAAAAUAGGUAC
rnacentral:piRNA from 1 species